rnacentral:rRNA from 1 species
GACGAACGCUGGCGGCGUGCUUAACACAUGCAAGUCGAGCGGUAAGGCCCUUUCGGGGGUACACGAGCGGCGAACGGGUGAGUAACACGUGGGUGACCUGCCCUCAGCUCUGGGAUAAGCCCGGGAAACUGGGUCUAAUACCGGAUAUGACUUCAUGACGCAUGUUGUGGAGUGGAAAGCCUUGUGCGGCUGAGGAUGGGCCCGCGGCCUAUCAGCUUGUUGGUGGGGUGAUGGCCUACCAAGGCGACGACGGGUAGCCGGCCUGAGAGGGCGACCGGCCACACUGGGACUGAGAUACGGCCCAGACUCCGUACGGGAGGCAGCAGUGGGGAAUCUUGCGCAAGUGGGCGAAAGCCUGACGCAGCGACGCCGCGUGAGGAUGACG